ACGCUGGCGGCACGCCUAACACAUGCAAGUCGAACGAAGUAGCAAUACUUAGUGGCAGACGGGUGAGUAACAUGUAGGUAUCUGCCCUUUGGCCUGGAAUAACACGAGGAAACUUGUGCUAAUACCGGAUAAGUCUUUACGGAGAAAGCUUUAUGCACCAUUGGAUGAGCCUGCACUUGAUUAGUUUGUUGGUGGGGUAAUGGCCUACCAAGACUGUGAUCAAUAGCUGAUUUGAGAGGAUGAUCAGCCACAUUGGGACUGAGACACGGCCCAAACUCCUACGGGAGGCAGCAGUGGGGAAUCUUGCACAAUGGAGGAAACUCUGAUGCAGCGAUGCCGCGUGAGUGAAGAAGGCCCUUGGGUUGUAAAGCUCUUUCGUCGGGGAAGAAAAUGACUGUACCCGAAUAAGAAGGUCCGGCUAACUUCGUGCCAGCAGCCGCGGUAAUACGAAGGGACCUAGCGUAGUUCGGAAUUACUGGGCUUAAAGAGUUCGUAGGUGGUUAAAAAAGUUGGUGGUGAAAUCCCAGAGCUUAACUCUGGAACUGCCAUCAAAACUUUUUAGCUAGAGUGUGAUAGAGGAAAGCAGAAUUUCUAGUGUAGAGGUGAAAUUCGUAGAUAUUAGAAAGAAUACCAAUUGCGAAGCAGCUUUCUGGAUCAUUACUGACACUGAGAACGAAAGCAUGGGUAGCGAAGAGGAUUAGAUACCCUCGUAGUCCAUGCCGUAAACGAUGUGUGUUAGACGUUGGAAAUUUAUUUUCAGUGUCGCAGCGAAAGCGAUAAACACACCGCCUGGGGAGUACGACCGCAAGGUUAAAACUCAAAUGAAUUGACGGGGACCCGCACAAGUAGUGGAGCAUGUGGUUUAAUUCGAAGAUACGCGCAGAACCUUACCAACACUUGACAUGUUCGUCGCGACUUUAAGAGAUUAAAGUUUUCGGUUCGGCCGGACGAAACACAGGUGCUGCAUGGCUGUCGUCAGCUCGUGUCGUGAGAUGUUGGGUUAAGUCCCGCAACGAGCGCAACCCUCACUUUUAGUUGCCAUCAUUUAGUUGGGCACUCUGAAAGAACUGCCAGUGAUAAGCUGGAGGAAGGUGGGGAUGACGUCAAGUCCUCAUGGCCCUUACGUGUUGGGCUACACACGUGCUACAAUGGUAUCUACAACAGGAAGCAAGACUGCGAAGUUAAGCAAAUCCUUAAAAGAUACCUCAGUUCGGAUUGCACUCUGCAACUCGAGUGCAUGAAGCUGGAAUUACUAGUAAUCGUGGAUCAGCGUGCCACGGUGAAUGCGUUCCCGGGUCUUGUACACACCGCCCGUCACACCAUGGGAGUUGGUUCUACCUUAAGGCAAGGUUUCAAACCCUUGACCACGGUAUAGUCAGCGACUGGGGUG
rnacentral:rRNA from 1 species